rnacentral:lncRNA from 10 species
UUUUAGUAGAGACAAGGUUUCUCCAUAUUGGUCAGGUUGGUCUCGAACUCCCGACCUCAGAUGCUCUGCCCACCUCGGCAUCCCAAAGUGCUGGGAUUACAGGCGUGAGCCACCGCGCCCAAUCAGCCUUUGCCUUUUUCUCCUGUCCACAGAGACCCCGCAAACAAGCGCAUCAGAGGAUCUGGGUGGUGCGAGAGCCUCCUACAGCAGCCAGGCCAGAAGGGAAUCUGUGAAAUGGGCUUUGAAACCUGCCUUGCCUUUCUCCGCCCGGUCCCAGCGGGGGUCCGAUCGGCAUCAAGGCUUCACCCACUCCCAGAGCCUUCGGGAUCAGCCCCACCCCAUCAGCAGGACACAGCCCAUGCCACUGGAAAUCUCGCGAGAAUCCCGCGCUGAAGCGAAGUCGAGACGUUUGACCUUCCUCCGUUUCCGUAGUUCCGAGUUGCGGUUUCUCCGUUAGUGCUUCCGGGUUGCAGCCAGGGAAGCCUCCGCGGUGGUGCAAGUGGAACCCAAGCCUUGAGGUUUCAGUGAGUAGGGGGCCGACGUGAGCUUUAGCGUCCCCCUUUAGCCUCCCUCU